CUUAAAUUGAAGAGUUUGAUCAUGGCUCAGAUUGAACGCUGGCGGCAGGCCUAACACAUGCAAGUCGAGCGGAAACGAGUUAUCUGAACCUUCGGGGAAGGAUAACGG
rnacentral:rRNA from 1 species